rnacentral:lncRNA from 1 species
UGAAACUCAUCUUUUGCUUCUUUGCUGUGUCUGGCUAGCCAGACGAGAGUGUUGAUUUUUAUUUGUUAUUUUUAUUUUUUAAAUUCUUUUCUAUUUGCAGUUAACUGGAAGGUGAUAGCUCUUUCUACCAAAUGUGGAGAUGUUUUUGUGGACUGUGCCUCUGUGUAUGAGGGUGUAUAACAUGGACACUUAGUGCCUUGUUCAUUCACAAAAGAUGCUGCUGUUCAGUGAUCCUCAAAACAGGCUACAUCUCAGAGCACACCCGAGGUUGUGUUUGAACCUAGAUUUGUCUCCUGGCUGAACUGCACGAACACAAACUUGUACACAGGCACGGGUUUUAGGCAAGCCUGAAAGAUCUGGGGGAAGAGCAUAAAUUGGGGCACAGGAGGUGCCACCUGAACAUCAGGAAGCACAUCUUUACUGUGCAGGUGGCUGAGCACUGGCACAGGCUGCUCAGAGGGGCUGUGGAAUCUCCUCCUUGGAGAUUUUAAAAAGCCACCUGGCCGUGGUCUUUGGCAGCCUGCCCAGGUGGCCCUGCUUGGGCAGGGGCUGGACCUGAUGGGCUCCAGAGGUCCCUUCCCACCUCAGCCAUUCUGCGGUUCUGUGUGUUGCGCAGGAGGCCAAGAGGGAAGGAGGCCUUUGGGUACCAAGCGCCAAUAGUUCUGCAUGAACAGAAAAAAAGGCUUCUCAUCUGAGCUCUGGCAGUACCACGGACUGAGGAAAGGGCAGCGUGGCGAUCACAGCCGGUCUGUGGGACAGCUGCACUGCAGAAAGCUGAACCUCUCCGUGGCCCUGCCCGCCCAGCCCGCCGCCAUCUCCCCACAUCCCCCCCCACUUGUUGCACCGGGAGGUGCGCCAUCACCAGGCUGCCUCAAGCGCCCCCGCAGCUCGGAGGCCGCUCUCCGGGCCGUGCCGGGCCCCUGCAGCCCCCGGGGCGGGCGGGCGGGAGGCGGGCAGGGGCGGUGCAGCGGGCGGGGCGGGCCGGGCCGGGCCGGCUGCGGCGGCGGCGAGGGGCCGGGGCUGCCGCCGAGCUGGCGUGGGGCAGAGCCACGCCGCAGCGAGCCGAGCCCGCCUCAGGUGCUUGGACAUUCACCUUCAGCUAACCAGGUCGCUUUGCCAUUGUCACUGCACAGCUCCUUCUGCUUCAGCCGUGGACUUGAUGUAAUCAGCUGCAAUAGGCUUUUUUUGUCUGCAUCUCUCCUUGCUUCUUCUUUCAUGUGUCUCUCCAGCUCUGCUUCUGUUCUUUAGUUUAUUUACCAGAUGCAGAGAAGAUAAGGAGCAAACAAGAAUCAGUCCCUUGUCCCUCUGCCUGUGCAAGGCUGGGGCUCGUUUAGCACCCCUCAGUGCUUCCCCACGCGGUCUGAGGCAGCUUCUAAGCUCCAGCAGCAGCAAGUUGGCACAAGGACCCUGACUUCUCCCAGCAGCUGAUAGAGCUCUCUCCAGGCACAGAAGAAAGCAGGGACCACCUUUCAGAAAGGCAACUUGCUGUUUCUCUUCCAAAAGAGAAAGAUGGAAAGGACAUGAUCAGCAGGGACUAAUUUUGUCUUCUGGCAAUGUCAGUGGGGAGGUCCUAGGCUGAUAUUAAUGGUGGCCUCUCCAUGGUAGCAGUGAGGCACUUUGGCAAGAAUUUUCUGUAAGUGAUUUCAAGUACAAUUCUGUUGCCUGUGCUGUAAUUACUGUGUUGACAAGACACAGAAGUUUGGUCUCUAGAGUUGUUGGUUUGGCAUCUCUUUUGACUAUUAAAAGUGCUGUGCUAUAUUAUUAUUUUCUUUAAAUAAAUUGAAUGCUGGAUAGUUCCUGGAAUCCUCA